AAGUCGUAACAAGGUAACCGUAGGUGAACCUGCGGUUGGAUCAUUAAUAAAACUAAAGGCUUGGCCUUUGCAAUUGACUCUCGGGUCAGUUACACACCUUUGUGCAAUGUUUGAGUGUUCCUAGUGAGCACUCAUUACACUUUAUCUAGUCUGAAGAAAUUCUUAAAUUAAAAAUACAACUUUUAACAACGGAUCUCUUGGCUCUC
rnacentral:misc_RNA from 1 species